AAUUUUUUGCCCAGCCAAGAUGCUGCUUGGUCCCCCUCAUGAUAUUGAAGAGCAAGACAUGAACAUUUGAGAUAAACACCCCCUGGAAGGUCUCCCCCAUCUCGUGCACACACCCACUUGCGUCAGGGCUGACCCGCUUCAUCCGAGCCCCAGUGAGGGCAAUGGAAAGAUUCCCAGUGAGUGCUGGGGUUUGGCCUGGACCCAAGGUUUUACAGCCUCUCUGGGCUCACUUUACUCAUGAGGCAGAGAAAACACACAGCUCCCGGCAGCAAGAUCCUCCACCCACAGCCAGAGCUCAGGCAGCUCAGCGAGAUGCCUCCUAAAGCCUUUAAACUCACAGAGCUUUAUUCUCCUCCCGCUCCAAGCUGAGGCUUUGUGAUCAUUCCCUGCUCCAUAUGGUCCCUGCCAGACUUAGAAGCACAUGGAUGGCUUCAUUUUCUUCUUCCUGAUAUUAAGAACUGCUGAAGAGGGACCUGUCCAUUAAAUUGGUCAUUGGUAUUCACAGUGGGAAAGGCACUGCUCCUGCAGCAGGUUCGGAAGAGCACAGGUC